AAAAUAUUAUUGUUUCCUCUUUCCUUAACUUUUGCUCCCUUACUUAUAUAAGAUGGUAUCCCUCCAUUAACAUGCAAGUUCUAUUCAGGCUAUCCAUUUCAAAUUAGUCCUUAGUUGAAUGAAUGGAUUAAUGAACAAAACAGAUAUGAAUGUGAAAAUCUUGCCAGGAAAAGACAUGGUUUUAAAUAUUUCUGCUAGAGAGAAAAGUGUUGAAGUGGGGUUUUUAAUCCUGAGUCAGGAAUAGAAAAAACAUCUGGCUAGAUUUUAAUUUUACUUCCAGGUAUAUCUAUCUCCAUCCUUUAGCCUGAAGCUGUCUUUGAUGUUCUCCUUUGGUAUACCAUAGUAUAUGUUAUUCUUUUCUUAGGUGUAGGAACUGUAUUUGAUAUCUAGUACUUAACACAAGGUCUGACACAUAAUAAUGACUCAACAAAUUUUUGUGAGCUAAGGAAUCUAACAGUUAAAAAGGAACUUUUGGGACCAGUCACGGUGUCUCAUGCCUGUAAUCCCAGCACUUUGGGAGGCUAUGGAAGAAGGAUAGCUUGAGACCAGGAGUGCAAGACCAGCCUGGG
rnacentral:lncRNA from 10 species